CAGAGUAGGGGAUCCCGCGUAAAGUGCCGCCCGAACGGGGAGUUGUCGGACGGACGAAAAGCGCAUUGCGCUUGCGGUGGGCUCUCCGCAUCCCGCUG
rnacentral:ncRNA from 1 species